CUGGCAAAGCGAACUCUCAAUUUGACCAGGAGAGCCUAGAGAGCUCUCUAUCUUUCCCCAAAUUCCGACUAGCGCGGUUCUUUUUCUCGACCAAUUUGAAUUCCAUUUCAUUUUUUAUUUUAAGUGUUGUAGAGUAGUAAGUAGCUAGGCGGAUUUCAGCGCAUGCUGCAUUGAGAAUCUCCAAAGAAAGUAGAAGCACAUAUGAUAGCGUAUGAUUAUC
rnacentral:lncRNA from 1 species